AUAUUGCACAAUGGGCGCAAGCCUGAUGCAGCAACGCCGCGUGAGGGACGACGGCCUUCGGGUUGUAAACCUCUUUUGGCAGGGAAGAAGCGAAAGUGACGGUACCUGCAGAAAAAGCACCGGCUAACUACGUGCCAGCAGCCGCGGUGAUACGUAGGGUGCAAGCGUUGUCCGGAAUUAUUGGGCGUAAAGAGCUCGUAGGCGGUUUGUCGCGUCUGCUGUGAAAACCCGAGGCUCAACCUCGGGCCUGCAGUGGGUACGGGCAAACUAGAGUGCGGUAGGGGAGAUUGGAAUUCCUGGUGUAGCGGUGGAAUGCGCAGAUAUCAGGAGGAACACCGAUGGCGAAGGCAGAUCUCUGGGCCGUAACUGACGCUGAGGAGCGAAAGCAUGGGGAGCGAACA
rnacentral:rRNA from 1 species